rnacentral:RNase_P_RNA from 1 species
CCAGCAGGCCACCUUAUCGCCGUGUACUGAACUUGUUUCAGUGCCUUCAUAGGAAUCACACCGAUUCCCUUGGAGGUCCCAGAUCAAGUCUGGGACAAGGAGGAAAGUCCGGACACCGUAGUGCGGCAUAGCGGGUAACGCCCGUCCGCCGAAAGGCGAGGACCAGUGCAACAGAAAGCAAGUACAGUUCGGCUGUAGUGAAAUCAGGUAAACUCUAUGCGGUGAAACGUCAUGUAAACCAAUGUUUGAGGGCUGCACGCCCAAGUUGGAGGGUAGGCGGUUGGAACACUUGGGCAACCAUUUGUCUAGAUAAAUGAUAAGGACUCCCAAAGUUAAUUUGGGAUGCACAGAAUCCGGCUUAUGGCCUGCUUUUAUU